UACAGAGACCUCAAGCGUUAUCCGGAUUUAUUGGGCGUAAAGCGCAGGUAGGCGGCUUGAUUAGUCAGGUGUUAAAUAUCGGGGCUCAACCCCGAAUCGGCAUCUGAAACGGUCAGGCUUGAGAAUGUGAGAGAUUGGUGGAAUUCAUAGUGUAGUAGUGAAAUGCGUUGAUAUCACGAGGAACACCCAAGGCGAAGGCAACCAAUUGGCACAUUUCUGACGCUGAGCUGCGAAAGCGUGGGGAGCGAAUGGG
rnacentral:rRNA from 1 species